AUUGCACGUGACGAUAAAACAGACAGGGACAUCAGAACUCCUUUCGGAGGAUGGUGAAUUGUCGAUGGGAAUCUCUCUGAUGCACU